AUUGAACGCUGGCGGCAUGCCUUCACAUGCAAGUCGAACGGCAGCACGGGUGCUUGCACCUGGUGGCGAGUGGCGAACGGGUGAGUAAUACAUCGGAACAUGUCCUGUAGUGGGGGAUAGCCCGGCGAAAGCCGGAUUAAUACCGCAUACGAUCUACGGAUGAAAGCGGGGGACCUUCGGGCCUCGCGCUAUAGGGUUGGCCGAUGGCGGAUUAGCUAGUUGGUGGGGUAAAGGCCUACCAAGGCGACGAUCAGUAGCUGGUCUGAGAGGACGACCAGCCACACUGGGACUGAGACACGGCCCAGACUCCUACGGGAGGCAGCAGUGGGGAAUUUUGGACAAUGGGCGAAAGCCUGAUCCAGCAAUGCCGCGUGUGUGAAGAAGGCCUUCGGGUUGUAAAGCACUUUUGUCCGGAAAGAAAUCCUUGGCCCUAAUACGGUCGGGGGAUGACGGUACCGGAAGAAUAAGCACCGGCUAACUACGUG
rnacentral:rRNA from 1 species